CUACGGGGGGCUCCAGUGGGGAAUAUUGCACAAUGGGGGAAACCCUGAUGCAGCAACGCCGCGUGGAGGAUGACGCAUUUCGGUGUGUAAACUCCUUUUAUAUAGGAAGAUAAUGACGGUACUAUAUGAAUAAGCACCGGCUAACUCCGUGCCAGCAGCCGCGGUAAUACGGAGGGUGCAAGCGUUACUCGGAAUCACUGGGCGUAAAGCGCGCGCAGGCGGCAUUUUAAGUUGGAUGUGAAAGCCUAUGGCUUAACCAUAGAACUGCAUCCAAAACUAUCAGGCUAGAGUCUGGGAGGGGAAGAUGGAAUUAGUUGUGUAGGGGUAAAAUCCGUAGAGAUAACUAGGAAUACCAAAAGCGAAGGCGAUCUUCUGGAACAGUACUGACGCUGAGGCGCGAAAGCGUGGGGAGCAAACGGGAUUAGAUACCCUCGUAGUC
rnacentral:rRNA from 1 species